rnacentral:rRNA from 1 species
AUGCGGUAUGACGGUACCCUUUCGAAUAAGAGGUUGCUAACUCUGUGCCAGCAGCAGCGGUAAUACAGAGACCUCGAGCGUUAUCCGGAUUUACUGGGCGUAAAGCGUCUGUAGGGGGUUUGUUAAGUUCCAAGUAAAAUCUUAAGGCUCAACUUUAAGUUCGCUUGGAAAACUAAUAAACUGGAGUCCAGCAGAGGUGCAUGGAACUUGCGGUGUAGGAGUGAAAUCCGUUGAUAUCGCAAGGAACACCAAAGGCGAAGGCAUUGCACUGGGCUGGUACUGACCCUGAGAGACGAAAGCGUGGGGAGCAAAACGGAUUAGAUACCCGUGUAGUCCACGCCGUAAACGAUGGAUACUAGAUGUUCGGGAUUCGACCCCCUGGGUGUCACAGCUAACGCGUUAAGUAUCCCGCCUGGGAAGUACGGCCCGCAAGGCUAAAACUCAAAGGAAUAGACGGGGAUCCGCACAAGCGGUGGAGCGUCUGGUUUAAUUUGAUAGUAAGCAAUGGACCUCACCAAGGUUUGACAUCCUAUGACAACCCUGGAAACAGGGCUUCCUUCGGGCAUAGUGACAGGUGCUGCAUGGUCGUCGUCAGUUCGUGCCGUGAGGUGUUCCGUUAAGUCGGGAAACGAACGAAACCCUCGUCGCAUGUUACAAAUUUCAUGCGAGACUGCCCGGGUCAACCGGGAGGAAGGCGGGGAUGACGUCAGAUCAGCAUGGCCCUUAUACCUUGGGCUACACAGGCGCUAC